rnacentral:rRNA from 1 species
AUUGAACGCUGGCGGCAGGCUUAACACAUGCAAGUCGAGCGGGGUGAUGGUGCUUGCACUAUCACUUAGCGGCGGACGGGUGAGUAAUGCUUAGGAAUCUGCCUAUUAGUGGGGGACAACAUCUCGAAAGGGAUGCCAAAACCGCAUACGUCCUACGGGAGAAAGCAGGGGAUCACUUGUGACCUUGCGCUAAUAGAUGAGCCUAAGUCGGAUUAGCUAGUUGGUGGGGUAAAGGCCUACCAAGGCGAGGAUCUGUAGUGGGUCUGAGAGGAUAAGACGCCAGACUGGGACUGAGACACGGCACAGACUCCUACGGGAGGCAGCAGUGGAGAAUAUUGGACAAGGGGGAGAACCCUGAUCCAGCCAUGCGGCGUGUGUGAAGAAGGCCUUAUGGUUGUAAAGCACUGUAAGCGAGGAGGAGGCUCUUUUGGUUAAUACCCAAGAUGAGUGGACGUUACUCGCAGAAUAAGCACCGGCUAACUCUGUGCCAGCAGCCGCCGCCGUAA